ACGGUUUCAAAGUAGCUGCACUGUCUGCUGUUGCAACAGUAAAAAUCACAAACCUAUAUAAGUCUCAAGUGGUAAAACAAAUCCUAUUAGAUGAAAUGCAUUCGGCCCUCACAAUUGCGGUUAUUCCUUUUCUGUUAACCCUAUCUGUUACUUCAUUAAGUUUCAAAAGAUAUCCCUAAGCUGGGCCAAGCAUUUGAUAGUGUGUGGCCACAGUUCUCUGAAUAUAUGUGCAUUUUUUACUGCUGGCGGGAUGCCUAUUGCGAUCUGUGCAGCUAGAGAUAAUUGAGCUGCUUCUCAAAUCUCAAGGCAUGCGGUAGGGGGGAGAGCUACGUAAAGCAGUGUAAGAAGUUUGUUUUUGAGUACGGCCUACUGAUCCUGAUCAACACAGAACAGUUCUUGGAGGACCGACAUGUCUGCAUUGCCAUCCAUGUCUGCAAGGAGUCCGGCCAUGAAGAAGCAUUGGUGGAAAUGCCCUUGCUUGAAAUGGUGGUCAGCAGCAAAAAUAGCUGAAAGUUGUAACUCACUGUAAGACCAUUAAUCAUUUAACAUUUCCAUGGAAACAAUACUCAUGGUCAAACAACGGGUUUACUGUUGGAUUCUGCAGUUGUCCAUCUCCUAAGGAUUUCACAUGGUUUUUUCCACGUCAUAUUUUGGAUUCUCUCUAUUCAGAGGAGUUUUCCAUUUCCAUGUUCACAUCAGCUUGGUUUUUGGCUCUAGCGAAUUAUGCUGACCUUGUGAACCGUGAGCAUCAGAUGUAGCCCUUCUCUUUUGGUAUUUCUAAUUAAAGAUAUUAUUUUGUCAAAAUGAUGGAAGGAGCAACAGAAUAGCAAACCUUGUUAGGUUGUCAGCCUCGGCUUGGUCCCAAUAUUAUUAGCAUUGUCUUUCUGGCUUCGAUCUGAACGUAUUCAUGUCUACUUGGAGCAUUCUCUUUAUUGCUUAUGUUGAAACAAGUUAGUUUUCUAUGCUAGGUGGGCCCUUUUUGUUGCUGGUGGACCUUUCCUUUGUUUCUCUUUUCUACUUUUGUCUUCUGUGCAGGGUGGGGUGACGAGAGGGUCACCAUCCUGCCUCUGCGUGGUUUUUUUUUUGCAAAUUCAUCCAUGGAUUAUAAUCCUAUCUACAAUGCACAUAGAGGUGCUAAAGUAAUGGCUUCAUCAUUCCAUGAUAUUAGUGAUGUUGAAUUUCAAGAUAAUUGGGGGCCUGGUUUGGUACUUGAUUGCGUCACACACGACAGACUACCAACAUCCAAUGCUGUUCCUUAACACCCUUGCGGUGAUUGUGCUGGUGGUCGCCAAGUUCCCAAAUGUGCACAAGGUCCAUAUUUUCAGAAUCAAUGUAGACCAGUGAGUGUUCAGUAUUAAGGAAAGACGGUAGCUAUCCUCUGUAAAAUCCCUUUGAUCCUUUUACUGUAGGGUUGUCUAUGUACAGAAGCUGGAAUGGAAGGGUAUUGUUUUUCUUUUUAUGAGUGAAAAUUUUAUGUUGAUUGCUAUACUAUUUCUAUUUGAUACAACAAUAAUUAGCGUAUUUCAUUUGUGUAGCUCAUAAGAUCUCGAUUAUUGUUU